UACGUAGGGGGCUAGCGUUGUCCGGAUUUCUUGGGCGUAAAGCGCGUGUAGGCGGCCAGGUAGGUCCGUUGUGAAAACCCGAGGCUUAACCUCGGGACGCCGACGGAAACCAUCUGGCUAGGGUCCGGAAGAGGAGAGUGGAAUUCCCGGUGUAGCGGUGAAAUGCGCAGAUAUCGGGAAGAACACCCGUGGCGAAGGCGGCUCUCUGGGACGGUACCGACGCUGAGACGCGAAAGCGUGGGGAGCGAACAGG
rnacentral:rRNA from 1 species